GGGGGUAUAGUUCAAGUGGUAGAGAGCAUGCUUAGCAUGCAGGAGGUCCUGGGUUCAAUCCCCAGUACCUCCU
rfam:Camelus ferus unplaced genomic scaffold scaffold1533, whole genome shotgun sequence.